AAGAAAAUGACGAGACUGUUUGAAGUGUCUCUGCCAUUGUAUGUGAAGAUUGAGGUAUAACAAACCUAACGGGCGAGUCAUCGUUUCGGUCGUCAUUUGCGUGAUUGGCGAAUCGAUUGUUCCUCGUCUACAU